UCUGUCAAUCAGGUUAUUAACAGCAGUUCAUUGAAUCAGUAUAUAUCGAUAUUGCGUUAUGACUUUUAUGAUGAAUAUUAAGAAUCUGCCUUAAAUAUUGCAUAGGAAAUGGAAUUUCGUGUUCAGACUCAUUAAAAAUGCUAAUAAAAGCUUAUGGUGAUCCAGUUUUAUCAAAAACGCAGGCCUACCACUGAUACAAUGCAUUCAAAGGAGACUGUAAACUGGCUGAAGAUUUGCAUCGUUCUGGACGAUCAUCAACAGAUGAAAACAGAAAGGUCAUCGUAAACACACCUCAUUGGACAUGUUAGAUUGCAUCAAUUCUUAUUCUACAUUCAUGGAAAGUAAAAUAAAUGGUGAUGAGACAUGGGUCUAUGAAUUUGACUUGGAAGACAAAAGACCAGCCGAAAUAAAAAAAAACAUUCAUUGAAGGAACUGGAAGCCAUAUCGAAAAUCGCCUAGGAAAAAUGUGCUUUACAUUAGAUGGAGCCUGACAGAAUAAAUAUUGCGGAAUAAUUUAAUA